GAUGAACGCUGGCGGCGUGCCUAACACAUGCAAGUCGAACGGAGAUAUAUGGAAUAGAGCUUUCGGGUGAUAGGAAAUAUAUCUAAGUGGCGGACUGGUGAGUAACGCGUGAGCAACCUGCCUUUCAGAGGGGAAUAACACCCGGAAACGAGUGCUAAUACCGCAUAAUGUAUAUUGGUGGCAUCACCGAUAUACCAAAGGAGAAAUCCGCUGAAAGAUGGGCUCGCGUCUGAUUAGUUAGUUGGUGAGGUAACGGCCCACCAAGACUGCGAUCAGUAGCCGAACUGAGAGGUUGAACGGCCACAUUGGGACUGAGAUACGGCCCAGACUCCUACGGGAGGCAGCAGUGGGGAAUAUUGGGCAAUGGACGAAAGUCUGACCCAGCAACGCCGCGUGAAGGAAGAAGGUCUUCGGAUUGUAAACUUUUGUCUUUGGAGACGAAUAAAUGACGGUAUCCAAGGAGGAAGCUCCGGCUAACUACGUG
rnacentral:rRNA from 1 species